ACGUUAGCAACAGAAGAAGCACGCUAACUCCGUGCCAGCAGCCGCGGUAAUACGGAGGGUGCGAGCGUUAAUCGGAAUUACUGGGCGUAAAGCGCAUGCAGGUGGUUCAUUAAGUCAGAUGUGAAAGCCCGGGGCUCAACCUCGGAACUGCAUUUGAAACUGGUGAACUAGAGUACUGUAGAGGGGGGUAGAAUUUCAGGUGUAGCGGUGAAAUGCGUAGAGAUCUGAAGGAAUACCAGUGGCGAAGGCGGCCCCCUGGACAGAUACUGACACUCAGAUGCGAAAGCGUGGGGAGCAAACAGGAUUAGAUACCCUGGUAGUCCACGCCGUAAACGAUGUCUACUUGGAGGUUGUGGCCUUGAGCCGUGGCUUUCGGAGCUAACGCGUUAAGUAGACCGCCUGGGGAGUACGGUCGCAAGAUUAAAACUCAAAUGAAUUGACGGGGGCCCGCACAAGCGGUGGAGCAUGUGGUUUAAUUCGAUGCAACGCGAAGAACCUUACCUACUCUUGACAUCCAGAGAAGCCAGCGGAGACGCAGGUGUGCCUUCGGGAGCUCUGAGACAGGUGCUGCAUGGCUGUCGUCAGCUCGUGUUGUGAAAUGUUGGGUUAAGUCCCGCAACGAGCGCAACCCUUAUCCUUGUUUGCCAGCGAGUAAUGUCGGGAACUCCAGGGAGACUGCCGGUGAUAAACCGGAGGAAGGUGGGGACGACGUCAAGUCAUCAUGGCCCUUACGAGUAGGGCUACACACGUGCUACAAUGGCGCAUACAGAGGGCAGCAAGCCAGCGAUGGUGAGCGAAUCCCAAAAAGUGCGUCGUAGUCCGGAUUGGAGUCUGCAACUCGACUCCAUGAAGUCGGAAUCGCUAGUAAUCGUAGAUCAGAAUGCUACGGUGAAUACGUUCCCGGGCCUUGUACACACCGCCCGUCACACCAUGGGAGUGGGCUGCAAAAGAAGUGGGUAGUUUAACCUUUCGGGGAGGAC
rnacentral:rRNA from 1 species